UCUGGGUUUAUCCCAGCGGUCUCGUUAGAAAGGUGUAACUAACGACGGGGGUUGCGCUCGUUGCGGGACUUAACCCAACAUCUCACGACACGAGCUGACGACAACCAUGCACCACCUGUAUACCGACCUUGCGGGGAGACUGUUUCCACACCUGUCACAUACAUGUCAAACCCAGGUAAGGUUCUUCGCGUUGCAUCGAAUUAAACCACAUGCUCCGCUGCUUGUGCGGGCCCCCGUCAAUUCCUUUGAGUUUUAGCCUUGCGGCCGUACUCCCCAGGCGGGGCACUUAGUGCGUUAGCGACGGCACGGGAGGAGUCGACACCUCCCACACCUAGUGCCCAUCGUUUACGGCGUGGACUAC
rnacentral:misc_RNA from 1 species